GCUCAGUCGGUUGAAUGUCUAACUCUUGAUUUUAGCUUAGGUCCUGAUCUCAGGGUUGUGGGUUUGAGCCCCACACUGGGCU
rnacentral:tRNA from 1 species